rnacentral:rRNA from 1 species
UACGAACUGUGCGAACGUUAUUCGGAAUCACUGGGCUUACAGGGUGCGUAGGCGGCUUGUUAAGUAGGGUGUGAAAGCCCCGGCUCAACCGGGGAAUUGCGCCCUAAACUGGCGAGCUGGAGUGAGAUAGGGGUGUGUGGAACUUCCGGUGGAGCGGUGAAAUGUGUUGAUAUCGGAAGGAACGCCGGUGGCGAAAGCGACACACUGGAUCUUGUCUGACGCUGAGGCACGGAAAGCCAGGGGAGCGAACGGG